UGAUGCAGAUACUAAUCUGACGCAGCUGCUGAUGUUAAAGCAGGUGUUGAUGCUGAUGCAGCAGGAAUGAGUUUGAUUUGAGAAGCGGAUUCCUUCUCCCCGGGAAAGGCACAAAGUUUUCUUUCCAAGUGCAGGUUGAAACUAACUCCUGGUGAAGAAGCUCACGGCACCAUCCAGCAUGGCACCGUCUGGGAGUCGUUUUUGAUUAGAAGUUGACCUCAGAAAUAUGCUCACAUCAUUUUGAAAGCAUCUUCCAGCACCACAGAAAUCGACUCAGAUGGAGAAAGGACACUGAGUGGACAGGGGCCAGGAUGGGGCGUGGACGCUCUGCCUCUGCCGGGGACAAGGCCUUCCCACAGACUCCCUGGGGUGUUGCCAGCCUGAGUCAGAGGUAGGAGGCCAGCCCUGUCGAGCCCCCAUACACUUAUGUAUUGACCUGGGGCCAGUGCUGUGGAUGGCAAUGACCAUCAUCAUCACCAUCGUCAUCAUCAACACUAGCUACUAUUAUCAAGUGCUUAUUCCAACCCACAUGGUUUCUAAGGGAGUCACAUGAAGUGACCUCACAUCAUUCUCACAGCAUCCUGCCAGGCAGGUACCAUUGGCGUUUGCCAUCUGAGUAUUAUCACCAUCUGAGGUCCCACUCAGGAGCUGGGCAUGUCGAUAUUGAUGUAAUGCCUACCGUGUUCCAGACACGCUGCGAGGCCCUGGGGAUGCAGCCACAAUCCCAACAGAUCUGAUGCCUGCUCUCAUGGAACUGACUUUGCACUGGGGGGAGGCCAACUCCACGAAAACAGAAACUGGAUGACACAUUGGAGGGAGAGCAGUAAAAGGAGCAAGCAGAGAGCAAGAACAACAGUGUUGCCAUGGGGCGGGUGGGCCCGCUGUAGCCAGGGAGGGCCUCUCCGAAGGUAUAACAGGUAAGCUGAGCCCUGGAUGCUGAGAAGGACCAGCCUCAGGAGCAGGGCCCCUCUGCAGCAAUGCCUAGUACAGAGGCUUAGAGAAGACAUGGGCACGUGCACCAGGCAUCCCAUGGGCAGGGCUACCUGAGUUCCAUAUGUGUGUGGAGAGGUCCCGCAGGGCCUGGGUGCGUGACGAGGAUGAAUAAAGUGGGUGGAGGGUAAUGCCACAGUGAGGGGCAGAUGGUGGCCAGUUGACAACACGUGCCCCCAUCAAAGAGGUGGUUGCUACUCAGCUCUGACUCAUGGUCACCAAAAAGGAUGUGGGGCGAGUGUGGCCAGAUCAUCUAGUUCUUCAAAAGAAAGUAGAAAUCUAAACAUUUUUUUUUUGGUAAAGACAUCUGAAUUUCAAGUGCUUUUAUUAAAAGAAGCAAAAAGAGGCCUGGCACGGUGGCUCACGUCUGUAAUCCCAGCACUUUGGGAGGCUGAGGUAGACAGAUCACUUGAGGUUGGGAGUUCGAGACCAGCCUGGCCAACAUGGAGAAACCCCGUCUCUACUGAAAAUACAAAAAAAAUUAGCUGGGCAUGGUGGCAGGUGCCUGCAAUCCCAGCCACUCGGGAGGCUGAGGAGCGAGAAUCACUUGAACCCGGGAGGCAGAGGUUGCAGUGAGCUGAGAUCACGCUACUGCACUCCAGCCUGGGUGACAGAGCAAGAACCUGCCUUAAAAGAAGAAGAAAAAAAAAAAAAAAAACACUGGGUGGAUGAAAAAAAAACAUCCCCAAGCCAGGUCCAGCCUGCAGGUCACCAUUUUGCAGCCUUUGGGUGGAAAGCCGGAUUGGACUGCAGCAGCCUAGUACUCAAGGAGAGGGCACGGCAGGGAGAGGAGACAGCAGCGGAAAGGCCUGAGCUGGGACAGUCGAAGAGCUGUGAGCGGCUUGCUAUGGCUGAAACGUAGUUUGAGUGUGACCACAAAACAUGGCAGACUGUGACCACAUUGCAAGGAUCUCGGAGGCUUGGUAAAAGGGUUCUCUUCCCCGGAGAUGUGGCACAGUGUCCGAUCCCCGUGCCUUUCCUCAUACAGUGCCCUCCCCCCUUUCUCCGCAUGUCUACGUUCUGACUCUAGUGCCACUUUUUCCACAGUCUCCCUGGUCCCCCUCCCACCCACCAUCAAGAUGGGAUCUCUCCCUCCUGGGAGCACCUACUGCACUUUGCUUUCAUUCAUUCAUUUUUUAAAAUUAAUUAAUUAAUUGGUUUAUUUAUUUUGAGAUGGAGUCUCACUCUGUUGCUCAGGCUGGAGUGCAACGUCACGAUCUCGGCUCACUGCAAACUCCGCCUCCCGGGUUCAAGCAAUUCUCCUGCCUCAGCCUCCCAAGUACCUGGGAUUAUAGGCAUGCGUCACCACACCCAGCUCGU
rnacentral:lncRNA from 1 species